rnacentral:rRNA from 1 species
UGGGGAAUAUUGCACAAUGGGCGCAAGCCUGAUGCAGCCAUGCCGCGUGUAUGAAGAAGGCCUUCGGGUUGUAAAGUACUUUCAGUCGGGAGGAAGGUGGUAAGGUUAAUAACCUUGUCGAUUGACGUUACCCGCAGAAGAAGCACCGGCUAACUCCGUGCCAGCAGCCGCGGUAAUACGGAGGGUGCAAGCGUUAAUCGGAAUUACUGGGCGUAAAGCGCACGCAGGCGGUCUGUCAAGUCGGAUGUGAAAUCCCCGGGCUUAACCUGGGAACUGCAUUCGAAACUGGCAGGCUAGAGUCUUGUAGAGGGGGGUAGAAUUCCAGGUGUAGCGGUGAAAUGCGUAGAGAUCUGGAGGAAUACCGGUGGCGAAGGCGGCCCCCUGGACAAAGACUGACGCUCAGGUGCGAAAGCGUGGGGAGCAAACAGG